rnacentral:rRNA from 1 species
UACAGAGGUCCCAAGCGUUGUUCGGAUUCAUUGGGCGUAAAGGGCGCGUAGGCGGCCCGUCAAGUCCCGUGUGAAAGCCCCCGGCUCAACCGGGGAACGGCGCGGGAAACUAGCAGGCUUGAGUUCGGGAGAGGGAAGCGGAAUUCCGGGUGUAGCGGUGAAAUGCGCAGAUAUCCGGAGGAACACCGGUGGCGAAGGCGGCUUCCUGGACCGACACUGACGCUGAGGCGCGAAAGCUAGGGGAGCAAACGGG